rnacentral:rRNA from 1 species
UGGGGAAUAUUGGACAAUGGGCGCAAGCCUGAUCCAGCAAUGCCGCGUGUGUGAAGAAGGCCUUCGGGUUGUAAAGCACUUUUAUCAGGAGCGAAACGCUGUCGGCUAAUACCCGGCGGAACUGACGGUACCUGAGGAAUAAGCACCGGCUAACUUCGUGCCAGCAGCCGCGGUAAUACGAAGGGUGCAAGCGUUAAUCGGAAUUACUGGGCGUAAAGCGUGCGUAGGCGGUUUCUUAAGUCUGCUGUGAAAUCCCGGGGCUCAACCUGGGAAUGGCAGUGGAUACUGGGAGGCUAGAGUGUGUCAGAGGGUGGUGGAAUUCCCGGUGUAGCGGUGAAAUGCGUAGAGAUCGGGAGGAACAUCAGUGGCGAAGGCGGCCACCUGGGACAACACUGACGCUGAGGCACGAAAGCGUGGGGGAGCAAACAGGAUUAGGAUACCCUGGUAGUCCACGCCCUAAACGAUGCGAACUGGAUGUUGGUCUCAACUCGGAGAUCAGUGUCGAAGCUAACGCGUUAAGUUCGCCG